GGGCAGCAGCAUCGGUGGCCGCCUCUCCGCCCACAACGAAGAUGGCGGAGACGCUGGUCGUGACGUCACCGGCGUCACACUCUCUCCUGUCCGCCCGGCACGGAGGGGACGCGGAGGACUGAAUGGGAGAAAGUCCAGGUAAAGCUCACU